CCUACGGGGGGCAGCAGUGAGGAAUAUUGGUCAAUGGACGCAAGUCUGAACCAGCCAUGCCGCGUGCAGGAAGACGGCUCUAUGAGUUGUAAACUGCUUUUGUACGAGGGUAAACGCAGAUACGCGUAUCUGUCUGCAAGUAUCGUACGAAUAAGGAUCGGCUAACUCUGUGCCAGCAGCCGCGGUAAUACGGAGGAUUCAAGCGUUAUCCGGAUUUAUUGGGUUUAACGGGUGCGUAGGCGGUCGGAUAAGUUAGAGGUGAAAUCCCGAGGCUCAACUUCGGAAUUGCCUCUGAUACUGUUCGGCUAGAGAGUAGUUGCGGUAGGCGGAAUGUAUGGUGUAGCGGUGAAAUGCUUAGAGAUCAUACAGAACACCGAUUGCGAAGGCAGCUUACCAAGCUACGUCUGACGUUGAGGCACGAAAGCGUGGGGAGCAAACAGGAUUAGAUACCCUGGUAGUC
rnacentral:rRNA from 1 species